AGAGAGAGACAUGCGCGCAUAUCAAUAAGCGGAGGAAAAGAAACUAACAAGGAUUCCCCUAGUAACGGCGAGUGAAGCGGGAAGAGCUCAAAUUUGAAAUCUUGAAGGGUUUCCCUUUACGAAUUGUAGUUUAAAGAAGUGUCUUUCUGUUGAGGUUUUGGUAAAAGUUCUUUGGAAUAGGACAUCAUAGAGGGUGAGAAUCCCGUAUUUGACCUUUACUUUCAACUUUGUGAUACACUUUCAAAGAGUCGGAUUGUUUGGGAAUGCAGUCCAAAAUGGGUGGUAAAUUUCAUCUAAAGCUAAAUAUUGGCGAGAGACCGAUAGCGAACAAGUACCGUGAGGGAAAGAUGAAAAGAACUUUGAAAAGAGAGUUAAACAGUACGUGAAAUUGUCAAAAGGGAAGCGUUUGACACCAGUGUUGUUUUUCUGAAAAUCAAUUAAAGAACUGUUUAUGCUAAGCUGUUUAGACUUUAUCAGCUAUCUGUUUAGUUUUGAGCUUUUCUUUAAUGCACUUUUCAGUUAACAAGUCAACAUCAAUUUCUUUUGCUGUAAAAAAGCUUGAGGAAGGUGGCUUGAGAUUCGUCUUAAGUGUUUAUAGCCUCUUGCCUAUGCAGUCGGAGAGAUUGAGGUCUGCAGCGUAGAUCCUUCGGGGCUAAAUGCAUUUGUGCUAAGUUAUAACAUUUUAUAGACAACUUGUUGACUAUGAUUUGUCUUGUAGCUUACUCGCUUAUGUUAUUUUACCUACGCUUAGGAUGUUGAGCGCAUGUCUCUCUCU
rnacentral:rRNA from 1 species